AGUCCAUCAGGCAGUGCUUUUGGCAGCCAAGAAAACCUGCGCUGGAGAAAAGACAUGACCCAUUGGCGUCAGACCAGCGAAAAGAUGGACAAGACCAGGGCUGAGCUGGAGCAUGAAGCAAUUAUUGAUGGCAACCUGGCAACUGAAGCUAAUCUCAUCAUAUUGGAUACACUAGAAAUAAUAGUUCAGACCGUGUCAGUGACUGAGUCCAAAGAAAGCAUUCUGGGAGGGGUUCUGAAAGUCCUGCUACAC